GACGAACGCUGGCGGCGUGCUUAACACAUGCAAGUCGAACGGAAAGGCCCUGCUUUUGUGGGGUGCUCGAGUGGCGAACGGGUGAGUAACACGUGAGUAACCUGCCCUUGACUUUGGGAUAACUUCAGGAAACUGGGGCUAAUCCCGGAUAGGAGCUCCUGCUGCAUGGUGGGGGUUGGAAAGUUUCGGCGGUUGGGGAUGGACUGGCGGCUUAUCAGCUUGUUGGUGGGGUAGUGGCUUACCAAGGCUUUGACGGGUAGCCGGCCUGAGAGGGUGACCGGCCACAUUGGGACUGAGAGACGGCCCAGACUCCUACGGGAGGCAGCAGUGGGGAAUAUUGCACAAUGGGCGGAAGCCUGAUGCAGCAACGCCGCGUGCGUGAUGACGGCCUUCGGGUUGUAAACCGCUUUCGCCUGUGACGAAGCGUGAGUGACGGUAAUGGGUAAAGAAGCACCGGCUAACUACGUG
rnacentral:rRNA from 1 species